rnacentral:rRNA from 1 species
UGCGUAGGCGGUCGCGCAAGUCUGAUGUGAAAUCUUCGCCGCUCAACGGGAAGAGGUCAUUGGAAACUGCGUGACUUGAGUGUGGUAGAGGCAGACGGAAUUCCUGGUGUAGCGGUGGAAUGUGUAGAUAUCAGGAAGAACACCGGUGGCGAAGGCGGUCUGCUGGGCCAUCACUGACGCUGAGGCACGAAAGCGUGGGGAGCAAACGG